rnacentral:misc_RNA from 1 species
UCAAUGAUAAGCUUUUCAACUUUGCUUCGAUGUUUUUCCAAGCUUUCAGGCAGAAAAGUAUGAGAAAAUCAUUAAAAAGAAAUAAAAUUUAUGCAGCUGUAAAAGAAGAAUCAAGUAUUUUACUUCAUUACGCAAGAAAUAUAUAUCUUCUAAUUAAUCUGCUACUCCAUUCAUAUUAUUUUUGGGUUCCAGAGCUUGCACCAUAAAUAUAAAUAAUAUCUGUUUGCUAAUAGCUUUAAGAAUGGGUUUUUUUUCUCCAAGGUAACGGAUAAGUUUAUAAAAGAGUUUCAAAGUAGGUAGAACCUUUAGUUACCUCUAAAUCACAGACUGGUAUUUUUUAACGUAGUGAAUAAUAUUGCAUUAAUAUUUAACCACCAAUCCCGAAAUAAAUCAUUUUAAAAAAUGAUAUUAACAUUUUUUGGACUAGUUAUAGUGUUUCUACCAUCAAGUAAGAAAAAUAAAAAUGCAUUCAAUAGUAUUUUAUCAUUAUAAUGACAUUAAAUUUCAGUAUCUUGUCGACAAGGACCAUUUAUUUAUUUCAAUUACACCAAAUCCAUGACAGUUGAAGAAGGAGAUUCACCACGACUUGAGUGUUAUGCUGGUGAUAAUUCACAUUUACCUAUUAGAUGGCAUAGAGAUCCACUGUACAGCAGAAGACGAAAUCUCACGUUGCCAAACGGAGAAUUAAGCUGCUAUUGUGGCAACGUUCUAGAACUCUCAUCUAUUACCAAAGAUCAACGAGGUAGAUAUGUUUGUAGUACUGACAGUGUAUGGGGAAGUGUUUCGAAAUAUAUCAAAGUUAGUGUCAUUUUUGCACCAAUCAUCCUGGAAACAUAUCGUAUAGAUCGUUUUGAAAUUAAAAAACUCGAAUUACGGUGUAAUGUUGAAGCCUAUCCAUCACCUCAAAUUGUGUGGAUAAAAAACAAUAUAACAUUGACUACAAAUAAACAUCAUCAAAUCAUCACUGAAUAUCAAUAUGAUAAUGUACACAAUUCAACGCUAAUAAUAUCAACAGAAUUUGAUUACCAUGGUACUUACAAGUGUAAGGCUUUUAAUUUAAAUGGCCGUUCAAUUGUGACUUUUGAAGUAACAGAUCCAGUUGUAGAAAGAACUUUUACUUCUAGAAGAUAUUUCUGAAUCUAUGGAAUAUUUAUGUUUGUUAUCUUAAGAAAAUUCUUAAAAUAGAUAUUAAUCUUUUCAUUGCCAUCAAGAAACAGAAAUAGCAGCUGUUUAUAUUAAAAGAUUUACAAAUUUUUUGCGUUGGAUAAUUAAAUUAAAAAAAAAUAAAAAUAUUUUCUAUAAAUUAUUGUAAUAAUUGAUUCGAAUUAUUUUUGGGUCUUAGAACUUACACUAGAGGCGCACUUUAGCUCCAAAAAAGCUAGAGAAAGAAAAAGAUAUGCAAAGGCUUUGUGUGGGACUAUUAUUUCUCUCACUUUUAGAAACUAUACUAUUGAAAACCUCAAAUGUCUAGUUCGCUCUAUUCUAACAUACACCAUAAAUAUAAAAAAUAUUAAUUCACUAAUAGUGUCAAGUUGUUUUUUAUCAUCAAGGUCGCAGAUAAAUUUAUACACAUAAAAAAAAAUUACGGCGUAAAAAGAAUCAUCAGUCAUUUUUAAAUCAUCGACUAGCGAUUAUUAAUGUGAUCAAUUAUAUUUUAUAAAUUGUUUUAAAUCAUGAAUCCACAAUUUAAUUAAUUUUUAACAUGAUGUUGAUAUUUUUGAUACUUGUUGCAGUGUUCUUACCAUCAACAUUUUGUUUAGAUGCACGAAAUAAUUAUUACAUCUCAUACACAAGAGUUGAAGAAGGGGAAUCAUUAGAAAUUGAGUGUCGUAUUGAUGGUUAUACUGAUAAAGAUCCACCUUUACCUAUUAAAUGGUACCGAGAACCAAGACCAGAAAAUCUUACUUUAUCGAAUGGAGAAACAACUUGUGAAUGCGGUAAAGUAAUAAAAUUUCCAUCUAUUACCAGAGAUCAACGAGGAGACUAUGUUUGUAGUGUUGACACUGAAUCCGGAAGUGUUUCUAGAUUUCUUAGUGUUGAUGUCCAUUUCGUACCAUUCAUAAAAGAAACAUAUCGUAUAAAUCGUUUUGAAAAAAAAGAAAUCGAGUUACGGUGUUAUGUUGAAUCUUACCCUUCACCUAACGUUAUCUGGAUGAAAGAUAACACAACAUUGUUUGUGAAUGAGCAAUAUCAAAUAGAACAUGAUUCUGAUUACCCUGAUUUAUAUGACUCUACUCUUACCAUAUCAACGAAAUUCGAUUAUUAUGGUAAUUACACAUGUCAAUUUAUAAAUACCAUUGGGCAUUCGACUAUGACUUUUAAUGCGACAGCUCCAGCUUUGACGAGAAACCUUACUUCUUAUUAUGGCAGUGAUAAUGAAUUAUAGAACUCACUAAAUUUUCAUAUUUUUUAUUCUAAAAUUAAAACAAUUUUAUAUACAGGAAAUCAUUCAAUAAUGUUGAUAACGAUCAGAUUCAAUAGCAAUCAGGAGAUAAAGCUCGACUUAUUAAAGAAGAAGUAGCAAGAAUGAAAGAAUUAAGCAGAGUUUCUUAGAGUUGUUAUUACUGUUCCAAA